CGCCCAAAUCACGCUUGACUCUCUUUCUCUCUCAAAAGUGAAUUAGCAAGAUGGCUUUAACGUACUGUCUUGCUGGACUUGGUGAGACAAAACCAAAUAUCUCUCAAAUUUAAACCACCGAGAAGAAGAGUUGCUUGAGUUGUAAUACCCUUUACCUCGACAAAGAUAACUCCUCAGCUGCUUGUUCUUUCCAUGGCCACACCACAGGGGGAGAAAGGAUUAUUUUCUUUGGCUCCACCACACCAAGGGAUUGAUGGGGAACGGACUGAUCUCUGGAGUGAUUGUCCAUAAAUGAAACGAGAAGGGUAAUGGACCAAAUAGAAGAAGUACCAAUUGGAAUAAAAGAUGGAGCUUCUGUGGUGAGUAUGAUGAUAAUGCACCUUGUCGACGAGGAUGGCAUGUUUCUCAUGAUGAUGGCUUCACUUUGUAUUAGCAAAAAAAAAACUGCCCUUGAAUCUUCAAUUCAACAGCACAAGAAGUACAGUAACAAAUCCUUAUUUUACAGGUAGAAAAUUGCGGGUGUGCUGCUUGUUUUCACAGUAGCAUUAGAUGAAGUGGAAAUGAAUUCAUAGAAUUUGCUUGGUGAAAAUUUGAUGUUUAGGUGAUCAAUCAAAAGGGUUUAGUCUGGAAUCUUUUAUAUUCUGAUUGGGUUGUUGAAGAACAGGUCAAUUAGGCAUGGAUGCUAUAUGUACACAUUUAUAUUAGAAUUAACCACAAAUUAUAUUUA